GACGACAGCACAUACCCAGCGGCGCGCACUCGCCGCGUCGAAGCACGAAAUCACAAGUGACGCAACGCCGAAGUGGAAACGGAUCAGGCGCAUCAAAAGGCCGCCGGUCUCACGCGCAUCCAGGUUAACGGCGUUGUCGCUCUCUGGUGAACACACCGGAAGGCCGACGCACGAUCUUCGCGCUUUCAUGACGGUGAGGCCACAAGUGGCACAGCGGCAGGAGACCGUGAAGCAGCUUGAGGGACUGCCUCACGACGUGCUUCGUGGUAUGCUGCGCGAUGUUCAGGCGCAGCUGCAAGAGGAGCGGCGCGCCUUUUCUCAAGAAAGAAAAGAGUUCGAGCACGUUCAGCUGCGGCUAGCCAAGCUAAAGAGAGACUUGGAAAGCGCGCAGAGGCAGCGAGAGCAGCAGCGCCGACAUGCAAGCAAAGAUGCCGAAGCUGCUGCGCGCACGUCCCGGCUGCUGCGGGCGGCGAGACGCCGAGGACAGGAGUAUGAGGAGGCGAUUGCGCGAGCUCUAGACGACAUUCACCAGCUUCGUCGCGGCAGCCGCGACAGGGCCGCCUCUCCUACGUCGAUGCCGGUCAUUUCGGUCGGUAUGGACGCUCUUUCGAUCAACUCAUCCAGACCGCGUCACGCGGACGUGCCCCCUGAGGUGAGCGUGCCGCCGACCCCGGCGCGGGAGUCGAGUCGCGCCGCCGCCGCCGCCAGAGCAGCGAAUGAGGAGCAGCGGCGCUCAGUGCUCUUACACGAGCUGGCGCAUCGCGUAGCGCGCGUGGAGCGUGAGAAUCGAAUGCUUCGGAGCAGCAUCGACAUCUUGAGCCGCGGCGACGCUUCCUCUGUGAAGCUCUAUUACGAGUUGGAGUCGCUUCAUCCUUCACGGGUUGGGUGACGGAAAUGGCGGGCAUCAUGAGCUGACUGUGCGGGCGGCUGCUGUGUGCAUGUGCAUGCGCGUCCGUCUCUCUGCAUGAACUCUACCUCUUUUGUCUACCGCCACUGCCGCGUUGCUCCUGCUCUCGAUCUCGUCGUGUAUGUUUUUUUUUUUGUGUGUGUGCGUUGAGAGGAGAGAAGGACAGCAAUCAAUCGCGCAUGGCCGCUAUCUUCACCCUCACCGUUGCCUCCUGUGGACCUGCUUUACCCUUUCGCAUGCAUGGAGACGAGAACCGCAGCGGAGACCUCCCCCCUCCUCCCCCUAGCCUCCCUCAAUAGCAAACGAGCAGGAAGGGAGGAAGAGAGCGGGGACAACCGCGUACGUCAGCGUGCGGGCGUGCGUCGGGCUACGCUACGCUCACGAAGUAGAAGCGCCGUUCUCUUUCCGUUUUUUUUUUGAUGUCUUAGUUACUCUCUGUGUUUGCACGGGAGGAGGAAAAGCUCGCUGAGUGGUGCUGCUGUGUAGGUGCAUGCGUGUGCUCUGUCUUUUAUUUUCACUGUUGAACACUUGGACACCGUGGCAUCUCGUCCGUCUCGCCUUCCACCCUUUCUCCUCACUUGCUUGCCUCCACUGAACUUCUUCUCGCCAUGGAAUGCGCGCUUGCAUGCGGAAACGGUGGCGCAUAUCCCGACUAG
rnacentral:misc_RNA from 1 species